rnacentral:tRNA from 1 species
GCCGACAUAGCUCAGCUGGUAGAGCAGCAGUCUUGUAAACUGCAGGUCAGGGGUUCGAGCCCCCUUGUCGGCUCCC